GUCAUCCUUAUCACUUGAGCUCUGACUGACAGACAGACAGACAGUGAGAGAGACAGAUUACCAAAAAGAGAAAGAAAACAGUGUGGAUUCAAGAACUAAGAGAACGAAUAAAAGAAGAACAAGGAAGGACUAAGAAGAGUGGAAGGGAGCUGUAAAGUAGAGGUGGUGUGCACUGACACGGAUCAAUUGCUCUUCUCCACUUUUAGUUUGGAAGUGUAGUGCGUCUGUCUGUCCAUAUAUCAUCUUGGUUAAUCAGUGGUCUUGAGAUAAAGUAAAAAUUUAACAGCUUCAAAAUCAUUCUGUCAGUAAAAACCUUUAAAGAAAGAAAAAAAAACAAGUU